UAGGGAAUCUUCGGCAAUGGGGGGAACCCUGACCGAGCAACGCCGCGUGAGUGAAGAAGGUUUUCGGAUCGUAAAGCUCUGUUGUUAAGGAAGAACGAGUGUGAGAAUGGAAAGUUCAUGCUGUGACGGUACUUAACCAGAAAGGGACGGCUAACUACGUGCCAGCAGCCGCGGUAAUACGUAGGUCCCGAGCGUUUUCCGGAUUUAUUGGGCGUAAAGCGAGCGCAGGCGGUUAGAAAAGUCUGAAGUGAAAGGCAGUGGCUCAACCAUUGUAUGCUUUGGAAACUGUUUAACUUGAGUGCAGAAGGGGAGAGUGGAAUUCCAUGUGUAGCGGUGAAAUGCGUAGAUAUAUGGAGGAACACCGGUGGCGAAAGCGGCUCUCUGGUCUGUAACUGACGCAGAGGCUCGAAAGCGUGGGGAGCGAACAGG
rnacentral:rRNA from 1 species